rnacentral:rRNA from 1 species
AUUGAACGCUGGCGGCACGCCUAACACAUGCAAGUCGAGCGGCAGCGAGAGUAGUAGCAAUACUACUUGUCGGCGAGCGGCGGACGGGUGAGGAACACGUAGGAAUCUACCCAGAAGAGGGGGAUAACCAAGGGAAACUUUGGCUAAUACCGCAUAAUCUCGAGAGAGAAAAGCUGCCCGUAAGGGUGGCGCUUUUGGAGGAGCCUGUGUCCGAUUAGCUAGUUGGUAGGGUAAACGCCUACCAAGGCGAUGAUCGGUAACUGGUCUGAGAGGACGACCAGUCACACUGGGACUGAGACACGGCCCAGACUCCUACGGGAGGCAGCAGUGGGGAAUAUUGGACAAUGGGGGCAACCCUGAUCCAGCGAUGCCGCGUGAGUGAAGAAGGCCUUCGGGUCGUAAAGCUCUUUAGGUUGGGAAGAAGGGUGCGAGGGUAAUAUCCUUGUACUUUGUCGGUACCGACAGAAUAAGCACCGGCAAACUCUGUGCCAGCCGCCGCGGUAA